UAGACAGGUUUGAACACUUAAUCAUUGCAAAUGUUGCUAUUGUUCCUCUAGAUCUCAAGAUGAAUCGACUAAAUUAGUUAUUCUUUUGAGUUUAUUUUUGUCCUUGGAAGCUAGUCAUAUAAAAAUCAGAGAAUAUCUGUGUCAUACAUGACCCAGCUCAUUCUGUCACUUCUAUGUUGUAAAACAGUAAUGAAGAUGUAGCUAUGCUUCUCCGUUGUGACUUACGACCUUAUACCAUUUCAAGAAACAGAAGAAACUUCCUUGUCUGUGAAGUCUUCUUUUGCAACCAGGAGAUAUUGAUAUAAUGGCAUCAACCACAAUUUGAGAUCAAUUUGCUAUUUUCAGCUUUCCUGUGUUGUUAACUUUGUAAUGUAGUU
rnacentral:lncRNA from 1 species